AACGAGCGCUGGCGGCAUGCCUAACACAUGCAAGUCGAACGAGACCUUCGGGUCUAGUGGCGCACGGGUGCGUAACGCGUGGGAACCUGCCCUUAGGUUCGGAAUAACUCCCCGAAAGGGGUGCUAAUACCGGAUAAUUUCUUCGGACCAAAGAUUUAUCGCCUUUGGAUGGGCCCGCGUUGGAUUAGCUAGUUGGUAGGGUAAAAGCCUACCAAGGCGACGAUCCUUAGCUGGUCUGAGAGGAUGAUCAGCCACACUGGGACUGAGACACGGCCCAGACUCCUACGGGAGGCAGCAGUGGGGAAUAUUGGACAAUGGGCGAAAGCCUGAUCCAGCAAUGCCGCGUGAGUGAUGAAGGCCUUAGGGUUGUAAAGCUCUUUUACCCGGGAUGAUAAUGACAGUACCGGGAGAAUAAGCUCCGGCUAACUCCGUG
rnacentral:rRNA from 1 species